rnacentral:rRNA from 1 species
CCUACGGGGGGCUGCAGUGGGGAAUAUUGGACAAUGGGGGCAACCCUGAUCCAGCCAUGCCGCGUGUGUGAAGAAGGCCCUCGGGUUGUAAAGCACUUUCAGUGAGGAAGAACGCCUGGUGGUUAAUACCCAUCAGGAAAGACAUCACUCACAGAAGAAGCACCGGCUAACUCCGUGCCAGCAGCCGCGGUAAUACGGAGGGUGCGAGCGUUAAUCGGAAUUACUGGGCGUAAAGCGCGCGUAGGUGGCUUGAUAAGCCGGUUGUGAAAGCCCCGGGCUCAACCUGGGAACGGCAUCCGGAACUGUCAAGCUAGAGUGCAGGAGAGGAAGGUAGAAUUCCCGGUGUAGCGGUGAAAUGCGUAGAGAUCGGGAGGAAUACCAGUGGCGAAGGCGGCCUUCUGGACUGACACUGACACUGAGGUGCGAAAGCGUGGGUAGCAAACUGGAUUAGAUACCCUUGUAGUC